AUGGCAUGGCAGCGGCCUCCCUUGGUCGACUACUUCUCCCUCGUGCAUUCAGAUCGGGGAACAGACGCCCCACAACCUCCAGAAACACAUCCAGAACACAGAACCCCAGCCUCCGAAAGGCAUCCGAAGGGAGAGACUGAUUCAAGGAUUGACUUCGCUGCAGCAACACUACAUCAAGGGGGCUUCACCAUUAUCAUCAUCUCAUCCAUUUGUAAUACAAUAGUUGGAGUGGAUUCAAUCUUGUGUUACUUUAGUGAAAUCACCAUGUUCAUCAUGAUUCAUCUCAUCCCUUUUGGCCCCUCGAUGUGUGAGUAG
rnacentral:rRNA from 1 species